GCCCACGGCUCGGCAUCGAGCAGAGGGAAAAGGAGCAAUCCGCUUUGAAAUGGCCUCGCGUCCGAUUAGCUAGUUGGUGAGGUAACGGCCCACCAAGGCGACGAUCGGUAGCCGGACUGAGAGGUUGAACGGCCACAUUGGGACUGAGACACGGCCCAGACUCCUACGGGAGGCAGCAGUGGGGAAUAUUGCACAAUGGGGGAAACCCUGAUGCAGCGACGCCGCGUGGAGGAAGAAGGUCUUCGGAUUGUAAACUCCUGUUGUUGGGGAAGAUAAUGACGGUACCCAACAAGGAAGUGACGGCUAACUACGUGCCAGCAGCCGCGGUAAAACGUAGGUCACAAGUGUUGUCCGGAAUUACUGGGUGUAAAGGGAGCGCAGGCGGGAAGACAAGUUGGAAGUGAAAUCUAUGGGCUCAACCCAUAAACUGCUUUCAAAACUGUUUUUCUUGAGUAGUGCAGAGGUAAGCGGAAUUCCCGGUGUAGCGGUGGAAUGCGUAGAUAUCGGGAGGAACACCAGUGGCGAAGGCGGCCUACUGGGCACCAACUGACGCUGAGGCCCGAAAGUGUGGGUAGCAAACAGGAUUAGAUACCCUGGUAGUCCACACCGUAAACGAUGAUUACUAGGUGUUGGAGGAUUGACCCCUUCAGUGCCGCAGUUAACACAAUAAGUAAUCCACCUGGGGAGUACGACCGCAAGGUUGAAACUCAAAGGAAUUGACGGGGGCCCGCACAAGCAGUGGAGUAUGUGGUUUAAUUCGACGCAACGCGAAGAACCUUACCAAGUCUUGACAUCCCUUGACGAUGCUGGAAACAGUGUUUCUCUUCGGAGCAAGGAGACAGGUGGUGCAUGGUUGUCGUCAGCUCGUGUCGUGAGAUGUUGGGUUAAGUCCCGCAACGAGCGCAACCCUUAUGGUCAGUUACUACGCAAGAGGACUCUGGCCAGACUGCCGUUGACAAAACGGAGGAAGGUGGGGAUGACGUCAAAUCAUCAUGCCCUUUAUGACUUGGGCUACACACGUACUACAAUGGCGUUAAACAAAGAGAAGCAAGACCGCGAGGUGGAGCAAAACUCAGAAACAACGUCCCAGUUCGGACUGCAGGCUGCAACUCGCCUGCACGAAGUCGGAAUUGCUAGUAAUCGUGGAUCAGCAUGCCACGGUGAAUACGUUCCCGGGCCUUGUACACACCGCCCGUCACACCAUGAGAGCCGGGGGGACCCGAAGUCGGUAGUCUAACCGCAAGGAGGACGCCGCCGAAGGUAAAACUGGUGAUUGGGGUGAAGUCGUAACAAGGUAGCCGUAGGAGAACCUGCGGCUG
rnacentral:rRNA from 1 species